rnacentral:rRNA from 1 species
UACUACGGUAGUGAAGUUGUUGAUGCCCUGCUUCCAGGAAAAGCUUCUAAACUUAUGAUUAUAUGAACCGUACCCCAAACCGACACAGGUGGUCAGGUAGAGAAUACUAAGGCGCUUGAGAGAACUCGGGUGAAGGAACUCGGCAAAAUUGUACCGUAACUUCGGGAGAAGGUACGCCCUUGUUUGUGAUAGGACUUGCUCCUUGAGCAGAUGAGGGCCGCAGUGACCAGGUGGCUGGGACUGUUUAUUAAAAACACAGCACUCUGCUAACUCGCAAGAGGACGUAUAGGGUGUGACACCUGCCCGGUGCCGGAAGGUUAAUUGAUGGGGUUAUCUUCGGAGAAGCUCUUGAUCGAAGCCCCGGUAAACGGCGGCCGUAACGAUAACGGUCCUAAGGUAGCG